rnacentral:ncRNA from 1 species
AAGAGCCGUAUGAAUCGAGAGGUUCACGUACGGUUCUGUGAGAGGUUUAGAAGUGCUUAAUUAAACCUAACUUAUUUAAU